UUAUUUUAUUUUAUUUUAUUUGUUUUUAUUUAUUUUUGUUUGUUUAUUUAAUUUUAAACCAAUGGUAUUAAGGAUAUUUUACGCUGUAAUGAAUAUCAUUUUUGUGACUUUCUUCUUCUAGUGCCAUUUUUGAGACAAAAACUCAAAAGACAAUUGCCCAUUUAUAAAAGCCAAAUUUUGGUCGGUUUUAAUUCGGUAAACCCGGAAGCAAUAUAAUAAUAAUCGAUACCACUGAAUAGGGGUGGAUAUUUUACCCGAUAUCCGAAGCGGCACCCGAACCCUAUCCGAAAAAUCCGAACCGAAAUCCGAACCGAAGUAGCAAAAUACCCGAACGAGUAUUGAAUAAGGAGAGAUUGGAUACCCGAACCCCGAACGGAUAAUAUCCGAACCCGAAUGGAUAUCCGAAGAUAACCGAACAUAUGUAUGAUUAACCUUAUAUUUCUAGUUUAC
rnacentral:lncRNA from 1 species